UAAAAUAGAAUAAAUGUACCCAAAGACCGAUGGCAGUUGAUGUGUCAAUGCCCAGCACCCACUCUUGGGUAGGGUAAUUCUGGGGCGCGUGUUCUGAUUCCCAGAGUUCUCCGUUGGUAAGUAUAUCCAGGUACCCAUGGUGACAGCCGCUUUGACAACGCAUCCAGUAGAGGGCGCUUUCUGUGUCUCAACUCAUUUUCUGACCCCACACCUAGAAUUUCCUGUGCCUCUCAAACUAACCGCUUGUUCUCAAGCGGUUUCAGGGUCUGCUUCUAGGAGGACCCGAAGUACAUCAGAACCCUUAGGGGUUCUUCUGUAUUUUACGUCAUCAUAAGCCAUUCUGAACCCUAAGAAAAUGGGUCGCUAUACUUAAUGUCUUAGGAGUGAAAGCGUGGUUCAGUGAUGCUUUAACUUCUGCGUCAUCAGGAGUUCUCUGAGGCUUAGGCAUUUAUUGCUCUCCCUGAGAAGACUGGCUUUCCUCAGGUGAAGAACACGUGUGGAUGGGCGAGUCUGAAAGCCAUUUUUAUCUCCUUGGAAGGCAUUUUCAUUCCGUCGUUCAACAAAGAGAGCACGUCACAGCAGAAAAUACCACAUCUGGGUGAAAUGGAGUGCCAGCAACAGUGCCAAUGUUUGUGGAGGGUGAAGGAGAGAAGUGAGGAGCUGGAACCCCCACCCCUGCCCCGCCCCCACACCCCCGCCAUUAAAGAAAUAAUUGCAGAACAGAUUUUAACAAUUACUGUCCCUGCAGCGACUGUUGUUAUGGACGGAGCUAAUAAAUGUCUUCAACCAUUACCACUCUGAGAUACACUCUCAGCUUAUUUUCUGCCUUUGGAAGGCACGGCUGGGUUGAGGCAUUCUUUUUAGCUCCCCCCCACCCCAGCCACCACCCCCCCUUAAUCAAAGAAAGAGAUCUUAUCUCUCUGCCCAGCCUAGCUUACCCCUCCCUCUCCCCUCCUCCCUCAAUGCCUAUUUUACUGAAACCUGACUUGCAGGUCAGGGAACUGGUAACAGAUUAAUUUUACUCAAAGAGGAACACUAAGUAUUUUUGGCCGGGACACAUGAGAAUCCUGUUAUAAUAUUACCAUUUCCCCCCCCUUCUAAAUUAAAUAUUAGAAAAAAUUAAGCCAAGUAGUGGCCCACGCUACAGUGGAAAGUAUUUCUCUCGCAAACACGGGGAGAUAAACGCUUGUGUGAGCGGAGGCACGAUAAAUAUGCAUUACGUUAAAAAAACCUAGAUCAUGCAGGUUUUUAGAGUUAUAGCUAAAAGUGGUUUAGUGUUUCAUGCCUAAUAAUAGAUUACGCCUAUCUUAUUUCCAACCUUCAUUUCUCCUCUCUUUGAAGUCCAGCCAUAUAAAAGUUGUUUGUUGAACCACACUAAAGUUAAAGCAAAUAUUACUUAGGGUGAUUCAUACUGGCAAGAAUUUGCAACGAAGGCAGUGGUGUGUGUGUGUGUGUGUGUGUGUGUGUGUGUGUGUGUGUGUGUGUGUGUGUGUCUGUGUGUCUGUGUGUCUGUGUUGCCUGAGUCAAAGGAAAUGAAAUGUUUGUAAUAUUUUUCGGUUGAUAAAUUUAUUAAAACAUUCUCGAAGCUUGUAAGGGAAGCAAGGCUGACAUCCACAGACUCUGCAAACAGAUUACACCCGGCCCUGUGGGGGAGGCAGACCUUAAAGAGGGAAAAAUUCUCUGGAUUUCAGAAAUUGCCACUAGGUCACAGUAAUACUUAAUUAACUGAAUCCAUUAACAGAGGGCUAUAACCUAGUUGUUAAGACGAAGGGAGAAAAAAAAAAACAAGGAGAAAAAAAAAAACAAAAAGAAAGAACAAGUUUGGGGAGUAGUUAGAUUCAUUUAAUCCUCUGUUCUUUGCUUACGGAUUAGCCUUUCAGAAUGAGCAACCUGAUUUUUUUUUUUUUUAAAAAGGAUCCAUUUACCUUCCAGGCCUUUUCCUAGCAAAACAUUUUGUAGGGUUGCAAACGAGAUUAAUUUGUUGCCAGUUGCGCCAUACUGGCAGGGAUUCUGAAAAAAGAAUGUAAGUAAUCUAUCUUUGUUUGUAAGAUAUAAUUAAUCUGGCAGUUAAAAUUCUUUGGAAACAUUCUGAUGACUUAUGUGGAAAAGUAGAGCAAGGAUUUCAAAGAAAAACUCAGAACUGUGUGCAGGGGAAGAUAAAAGAUAUAUGAAGUGUUUGUUCUAAGCGAUACUAUUCAUUUACAGAUCAUAAUGUAGCCCCACCCUGGCAAUUAUUCUGGAAAGCAAGACAAAUCUUUGUCUAGAGCCUUCUGACGCGGUCUUGAUUUGACAAACAAAAUAAGCACAUUACCGUUGUAGUCUAAUAGACUGCAAGCUGCUUUAUUCGAGUCAGCUGAAUCCUGUUUUGCAUAAAAAAGAACACUGUUUGCUAUGGAGAACACAUUUAUGCUAAUAGGACUUUGACAAAGUAAAAUAAAAUCGCAUUAAGAUGCUGUAAGGAGAUAAGACAAUGAAAUCUCAGGGAGAGGGAGAGAGAGAGAGAGAGAGAGAGAGAGAGAGAGAGAGAGAGAGAGAGAGAGAGAGAGUUUUGGCACACACUAA